rnacentral:rRNA from 1 species
UACGUAGGGUGCAAGCGUUGUCCGGAAUUACUGGGCGUAAAGGGCUCGUAGGCGGCCAACUAAGUCAGACGUGAAAUCCCCAGGCUCAACCUGGGAACUGCGUCUGAUACUGGAUGGCUUGAAUCCGGGAGAGGGAUGCAGAAUUCCAGGUGUAGCGGUGAAAUGCGUAGAUAUCUGGAGGAAUACCGGUGGCGAAGGCGGCAUCCUGGACCGGCAUUGACGCUGAGGAGCGAAAGCUAGGGGAGCAAACGGG